AACAUACCCUUUUCUACGGAAUAGCCUCGGGAAACUGAGAGUAAUACCGUAUACGCCCUUUGGGGGAAAGAUUUAUCGGUAUGGGAUUAGCCCGCGUAAGAUUAGAUAGUUGGUGGGGUAAUGGCCUACCAAGUCUACGAUCUUUAGCUGGUUUUAGAGGAUGAUCAGCAACACUGGGACUGAGACACGGCCCAGACUCCUACGGGAGGCAGCAGUGGGGAAUCUUAGACAAUGGGCGCAAGCCUGAUCUAGCCAUGCCGCGUGAGUGAAGAAGGCCUUAGGGUCGUAAAACUCUUUCGCCAGAGAUGAUAAUGACAGUAUCUGGUAAAGAAACCCCGGCUAACUCCGUGCCAGCAGCCGCGGUAAUACGGAGGGGGUUAGCGUUGUUCGGAAUUACUGGGCGUAAAGCGCACGUAGGCGGACUGGAAAGUUGGGGGUGAAAUCCCGGGGCUCAACCUCGGAACUGCCUCCAAAACUAUCAGUCUAGAGUUCGAGAGAGGUGAGUGGAAUUCCAAGUGUAGAGGUGAAAUUCGUAGAUAUUUGGAGGAACACCAGUGGCGAAGGCGGCUCACUGGCUCGAUACUGACGCUGAGGUGCGAAAGUGUGGGGAGCAAACAGGAUUAGAUACCCUGGUAGUCCACACCGUAAACGAUGAAUGCCAGUCGUCGGCAAGUAUACUUGUCGGUGACACACCUAACGGAUUAAGCAUUCCGCCUGGGGAGUACGGUCGCAAGAUUAAAACUCAAAGGAAUUGACGGGGGCCCGCACAAGCGGUGGAGCAUGUGGUUUAAUUCGAAGC
rnacentral:rRNA from 1 species